UCCUGACCGUGCAAAGGUAGCAUAAUCAUUUGCCUAUUAAUUGUAGGCUAGUAUGAAUGGACAAACGUGAACUUUACUGUCUCCUCUAAGUAAUUAAAACUUUAUAUCCAAGUGAAGAAGCUUAGAUACACUCGCAGGACAAGAAGACCCUAUAGAGCUUUACCACUAACCUUAGACUAUAAGCUAAUUGGUUCGGUUGGGGCGACCAAGGAAUACAAAACAUCCUUAAACAUAUUAGAUAUACUAAUCACAUUAAAGAUCCUUAUUAAAGAUCACUGGAACAAGCUACCUUAGGGAUAACAGGCUAAUUCCUCUAGAGAGCCCUUAUUGACAGAGGAGGUUGGCACCUCGAUGUUGGCUUAGGACUUCUUU
rnacentral:rRNA from 1 species